AGUGAACGCUGGCGGUAGGCCUAACACAUGCAAGUCGAACGGCAGCACAGUAAGAGCUUGCUCUUACGGGUGGCGAGUGGCGGACGGGUGAGGAAUACAUCGGAAUCUACUUUUUCGUGGGGGAUAACGUAGGGAAACUUACGCUAAUACCGCAUACGACCUACGGGUGAAAGCAGGGGAUCUUCGGACCUUGCGCGAUUGAAUGAGCCGAUGUCGGAUUAGCUAGUUGGCGGGGUAAAGGCCCACCAAGGCGACGAUCCGUAGCUGGUCUGAGAGGAUGACCCGCCCAACGGGAACGAGGAACGGGUCCAACCCCCUAGGGGGGGAAGCAGGGGGGAAAUUUGGAAAAGGGGGGAAAGCCUGACCCAGCCAUACCGGGGGGGUGAAGAAGGCCUUCGGGUUGUAAAGCCCUUUUGUUGGGAAAAAAAAGCAGCAGGUUAAUACCCCGCUGUUCUGACGGUACCCAAAGAAUAAGCACCGGCAAACUUCGU
rnacentral:rRNA from 1 species